CUGUUGUGCAUUGCAUUGUAGUGCAUUGCAUUGUACUGCAGUUGAGUGCAGUGCAGUGCAGUGCAGCGCAG
rnacentral:pre_miRNA from 12 species